ensembl:lncRNA
GUGGUUUCCACUUUUCACUCUCCCCUCAGCAGCAGUCCGAUGAGUCCUUGCAGAGACACAGUAAGUCUUUGCUGUUUACUCUGUGCACGUCUGUUACUUUUGUGCCUGUUCAGACGCAGGACUGAUCGGCCCCCUCUUAAAUUUGAUGCUCCGCUUUUCCAUUUUGCUCGUUGGAUUUCUUUACCCACCAUCUGGAUGUUGACUGUGAUGUGUUUGGGUGAGUGAGUGAGUUGUAUGUCUGCUUGAGCGUGUGUGUGCACAUAUGCAGAAGGCGACCGUGCCUCACCGCUAACGCCAUGGAGCUUGAGGCGGGACAGUUUUAAUGUGGAAAAGAGCUGAGCAGACAAAAGAAUAGACCACACUGAAAUCAAUGGUGUGUGACUACAGUUAACGCUAAAGAUGUGCAGCCACGUUUAUGGAUGGAUGAAUCAAAACGCACAGCGACGUCUCCCAGACACACGACUGCAUGAACAGUCCUGUGUGAUGACUGCACUACUGUACAGGAAAAGAUUAAGCUCCCGCUUUACUGUCUGAACCAGUCGGACAGGCAAAAACAUUAACAGAUGUGCUGCAUGUACACACACUAAAUUAUCAUUGAUAGUUGUAUAUUAUAGAAAGGUUUAGUAAAGUAGUAAAAGUGAUUUGCUUCAAAUAUCCUAUUUCUUUUCUUUAAUAAAGUCUCCAUUGGGAAAGUAAACAAGUACUGUUAAAUAAUUCAGUUCUAUUUCUGUCAGUGUUUCCCCACAAAAAAAAGCUCUGAAUGAGAGUGAAUAUUGACAGAAUGUGGAGCGAAUACAUAAUGGUUUGGAGAGAGAUGGUUAUGUGAAUGCUGUUUUUAUGGAGAAAAUAACAACUAAGGAGGUCUCUCUGUGUCUUAAAAAUGGAGUGUUAGCUGGGUUUGUUAGUUCUUCAAACAAAAUUGAUAAGUGUAACAAAUUAUUUUUCUUUACAUUCUCACCACCUGCACUGUGAUUGAAUCUGAAUCUUUGUAUCAUAAUGCCAAUAUUACAUUUAUUUCCUAUGCAGGCAGUUGUGGUGAAACCUGUCACUUAUCACUGACUGCCAAUUUGUUAUGAAAGAGGAAUGACUGUGAUUUUCACCUAAAAAGCUAAAAUAGUUCAUUUUUUCUUUAUAUUAAAUUAAUGCUGC